CUCCUCCCAAAGCGUAACGGAGGAGUACGAAGGUACGCUAGGUACGGUCGGAAAUCGUGCUGAUAGUGCAAUGGCAUAAGCGUGCUUAACUGCGAGACCGACAAGUCGAGCAGGUGCGAAAGCAGGUCAUAGUGAUCCGGUGGUUCUGUAUGGAAGGGCCAUCGCUCAACGGAUAAAAGGUACUCUGGGGAUAACAGGCUGAUACCGCCCAAGAGUUCAUAUCGACGGCGGUGUUUGGCACCUCGAUGUCGGCUCAUCUCAUCCUGGGGCUGUAGCCGGUCCCAAGGGUAUGGCUGUUCGCCAUUUAAAGAGGUACGUGAGCUGGGUUUAAAACGUCGUGAGACAGUUUGGUCCCUAUCUGCCGUGGGCGUUGGAUAUUUGAAGGGGGCUGCUCCUAGUACGAGAGGACCGGAGUGGACGAACCUCUGGUGUACCGGUUGUCACGCCAGUGGCAUCGCCGGGUAGCUAUGUUCGGAAGAGAUAACCGCUGAAAGCAUCUAAGCGGGAAACUCGCCUUAAGAUGAGAUAUCCCUGGGGACUAGAUCCCCUUGAAGGGUCGUUCGAGACCAGGACGUUGAUAGGUCGGGUGUGUAAGCGCAGUAAUGCGUUCAGCUAACCGAUACUAAUUGCCCGUAAGGCUUGAUCCUAUAACA
rnacentral:rRNA from 1 species